rnacentral:rRNA from 1 species
UACGUAGGGUGCGAGCGUUAAUCGGAAUUACUGGGCGUAAAGCGUGCGCAGGCGGUAAUGCAAGACAGAUGUGAAAUCCCCGGGCUUAACCUGGGAACUGCAUUUGUGACUGCAUUGCUGGAGUGCGGCAGAGGGGGGGAUGGAAUUCCGCGUGUAGCAGUGAAAUGCGUAGAUAUGCGGAGGAACACCGAUGGCGAAGGCAAUCCCCUGGGCCUGCACUGACGCUCAUGCACGAAAGCGUGGGGAGCAAACAGGAUAGAUACC